rnacentral:RNase_P_RNA from 1 species
ACGUUCGGGUAAUUGCUGCAAUUGCAUUAUGCAGAUUGUAGAGGAAAGUCCAUGCUCGCACAAGCUGAGAUGCUUGUAGUGUUCGUGCCUAGUGAAAAAAUAAGCUAGGGCAGCUUUGACGGCUGACGGCCGGGGAGCGACCUAAGUCCAUUCGGAUAUGGUCCAGUACCCUAUAAAAGUGCCACAGUGACGUAGCCUUGUCAGAAAUGGCAAGGGUGGAACGGGUAAACCCCACGAGCGAGAAACCCAAAUUUAGGUAGGGGCACCUUACACCUUGGAAAUGAACGAGGUAAAGGACAGGCAUAUGCCUGUAGAUAGAUGAUUACCGCCUUCUGUAUGAGACUGAAAAAAUCGGUCGUUUGCAAUACGAAGGAACAAAACAUGGCUUAUAGAG